GACGAACGCUGGCGGCGUGCCUAAUACAUGCAAGUCGAACGGUUUAGUUCCAAGAGGCGUGCCUGUUGGGACUAGGCAGUGGCGGACGGGUGAGUAACACGUAGGCAACCUACCUGUCAAACCGGGAUAACCUCGGGAAACCGAAGCUAAACCCGGAUAAGCUCCUUUUUCGCAUGAAGGGGGAGUGAAAAGGUGCGACCUGACGACAGAUGGGCCUGCGGCGCAUUAGCUAGUAGGUAGGGUAACGGCCUACCUAGGCGAUGAUGCGUAGCCGACCUGAGAGGGCGUACGGCCACACUGGGACUGAGAUACGGCCCAGACUCCUACGGGAGGCAGCAGUAGGGAAUCUUCGGCAAUGGGCGAAAGCCUGACCGAGCAACGCCGCGUGAGUGAGGAAGGCCUUCGGGUUGUAAAACUCUGUUGUUUGGGAAGAAGGGAAAGGGUAGGACCCUUUGGUGACGGUACCAAACGAGAAAGCCCCGGCUAACUACGUGCCAGCCGCCGCCGUAA
rnacentral:rRNA from 1 species